UUCAGUCGUGCACAUGGGCCCAUGUAGGGUGAUGAUGACCAAUAUAAGUGUAAUGAUAUGUUGCUAUACAACUUCAGGACAUAAAAAACAUUACAACCAACAUGUGUAAUGCUGUCUGAAUACAUUUGUUCAGGUCCAUCCUAUUCUGCACAACAUCAGGGACACCACAGGUACAUCUUCUGGGAACAUGAGCUAUGCAUGGGCACCUACAGUCAGAACAGAAUCCGCAUUACAACAGACAAACUCUCCACAUCAGGAGGUGUAACUGG